GGCAAAGCAGAGAAGGACAUCUUUGAUGGGAGUCUGAACUGCUCAAUUUGCAUGCAGUUACCGGAGAGACCCGUGACAACGCUGUGUGGUCACAACUUUUGAUUGAAGUGCUUCCAGAAGUGGAUUGGGCAGGCAAAGCGGACCUGUGCGAACUGUCACAGUCAGAUCCCACCUAAGAUGGCCGAAAACCCUAGGAUUAAUGACCAGCUGACCAUUGUAAUCCGUUUGGCGAGGCAGAUGAAGGCCACGGGGAUGGUGGGUGCGGUGGCGCAGCCCAAGGUGUAUGUUUCUCGUAAAAACGACGACCUUCCAGACACUUUAC